rnacentral:rRNA from 1 species
GGUGACCUCAUGGGAAGUCCUCGUGUUGCACCCUUU